AUACGCUGGCGGCGUGCUAACACAUGCAACGUCGAGCGAGGACUUCGGUCCUAGCGGCGGACGGGUGAGUAACGCGUGGGUAUCUGCCUCAUACACACGGAUAACGUACCGAAAGGUACGCUAAUACGGGAUAAAGUUAAGAAAUGGCAUCAUUUCUUAAUCAAAGAAAUUCGGUAUGAGAUGAGCCCGCGUCCCAUUAGCUAGUUGGUAAGGUAAAAGCUUACCAAGGCGACGAUGGGUAGCCGACCUGAGAGGGUGAUCGGCCACACUGGAACUGAGACACGGUCCAGACUCCUACGGGAGGCAGCAGUGGGGAAUAUUGCACAAUGGGCGAAAGCCUGAUGCAGCAACGCCGCGUGAGCGAUGAAGGUCUUCGGAUCGUAAAGCUCUGUCCUCAAGGAAGAAUAUUGACGGUACUUGAGGAGGAAGCCCCGGCUAACUAACGUGCCAGCAGCCGCGGUAAUACGUAAGGGGCUAGCGUUAUCCGGAAUUACUGGGCGUAAAGGGUGCGUAGGCAGUCUUGCAAGUCAGAGGUGAAAGGCUACAGCUCAACCGAAAAGACUAAAACUU
rnacentral:rRNA from 1 species